rnacentral:rRNA from 1 species
CGAACGGGUGAGUAUACAUCGGAACAUACCAGUAGUGGGGGAUACCAGUCGAAAGACUGGCUAAUACCGCAUACGACCUACGGGUGAAAGCGGGGGACCGCAAGGCCUCGCGCUAUUGGAUUGGCCGAUGUCCGAUUAGCUAGUUGGCGGGGUAAAAGCCCACCGAGGGCGACGAUCGGUACUGGUCUGAGAGGAUGAUCAGCCACACUGGGACUGAGACACGGCCCAGAACUCCUACGGGAGGCAGCAGUGGGGAAUUUUGGACAAUGGGCGCAAGCCUGAUCCAGCCAUGCCGCGUGUGUGAGGAAGGCCUUCGGGUUGUAAAGUACUUUCAGCGGGGAGGAAGGUGUUGUGGUUAAUAACCACAGCAAUUGACGUUACCCGCAGAAGAAGCACCGGCUAACUCCGUGCCACAGCCGCGGUAAUACGGAGGGUGCAAGCGUUAAUCGGAAUUACUGGGCGUAAAGCGCACGCAGGCGGUCUGUCAGGGUCGGAUGUGAAAUCCCCGGGCUCAACCUGGGAACUGCAUUCGAAACUGGCAGGCUAAAGUCUUGUAAGGGGGGUAGAAUUCCAAGUGUAGCGGUGAAAUGACGUAAGAUC